rnacentral:rRNA from 1 species
UACGUAGGCAGCAAGCGUUGUUCGGAGUUACUGGGCGUAAAGGGUGUGUAGGCGGUUGUUUAAGGUUGGUGUGAAAUCUCCCGGCUCAACUGGGAGGGUGCGCCGAAUACUGAAUGACUUGGAGUACGGGAGAGGAAAGUGGAAUUCCUGGUGUAGCGGUGAAAUGCGUAGAUAUCAGGAGGAACACCGGUGGUGUAGACGGCUUUCUGGACCGUAACUGACGCUGAGACACGAAAGCGUGGGUAGCAAACAGG